rnacentral:misc_RNA from 1 species
GAGGCCGUAUCUAAGGGCUACCAAGUGAUAUAGACACAAUGAAAUAUUAAACUUUAACAUACAAUAUGCAUGGAAAGAAAAAAGAAGGAAUUAAAGAAGAGAAGAGGACAAAAAUGACUCUAAACAGAAAAAUAAGAAAAGAAAACAGAUACCACUUAACAAUUGAUAUAAUUCCAGAAUUUAUUAGUCUUUGCAAUAUUGCUACCACCAUUAAAUCACAAGUAAGGAAUAUGCUAAAACUGUGAUUCACAAAUCACAAUUACAUAGAAGCCGAUACCACAAUCUUUUUUUCAUAAAAUUAAUGAGAUUUGCAAUUAUAAGAUUUGUGCUUCACAUGCCCAGGAUAUCAUAUUCUGAUAGUGAAGGGUCAGUAAGAUUUGAAAUUCACUUGCUAUUGCAAAUCCACUAAGGAAAGUAAGAUUUGAAAUUCACUUGCUAUUGCAAAUCCACUAAGGAAAGUAAGAUUUGAAAUUCACUUGCUAUUGCAAAUCCACUAAGGAA